GAUGAAGAACGUAGCAAAAUGCGAUAAGUAGUGUGAAUUGCAGAAUUCAGUGAAUCAUCGAAUCUUUGAACGCACCUUGCGCCCUUUGGCUAUUCCGAAGGGCAUGCCUGUUUGAGUAUCAUGAACACCUCAACUCUCAUGGUUUGCCAUGAUGAGCUUGGACUUUGGGGGUCUUGCCGGCCUAUGGGUCGGCUCCUCUCAAAUUAAUCAGCUUGCCAGUGUUUGGUGGCAUCACAGGUGUGAUAACUAUCUACGCUUGUGGUUUUCCAUCAGGUAACCUUCAGUGAUGGAGGUUCGCUGGGGCUCAUAAAUGUCUCUCCUCAGUGAGGACAGCUUUUUUGAACGUUUGAUCUCAAAUCAGGUAGGACUACCCGCUGAACUUAAGCAUAUCAAUAAGCGGAGGA
rnacentral:misc_RNA from 1 species